rnacentral:lncRNA from 1 species
CAUUCCAAAACAAACAUUUAUGAACUGUGCUAGAGUUUCAGGGAAAUAGAAGAAAUAAUAUAAAUUAAACAUAAUCCAAAAGAAACACAAAAAAUUGAAAAGGGAGAAAAUGCCCACUCAUCAGAUCCAAUUAACAAUAGCUAUGAUUAUGAUACCAAAAGUGUGAAAAUAUAUAGAAGAGAACAAAGCAAAUUUACAACCAUACCUUCCUCUCGCCUCUGAGGAAUGUUCAGUUACAGCUGCUUGCUUUCAACUAGCAAAUCAGCAGUAUACUUUAGAUCUUCAGAACUGCUUCCAACGCCAGCAUGCAUGUCUACUAUAGCUUCCUCUUCCCCCAGAGUAAAGGACAGUUUCAGCAGCUUCUCUUUUACUAGAUAAUUGGUAGUAACAUCUAAACCUUUGGAACUACUUUCGAACUCUGAAGAGCAACUAGUUUUCCUCUUCCUUCGAUUUACCACCACACAAAUUUACCUGUGCAAUAAUAAGAUUUGCAGAAAGCAUUGUCAGUUGUUGAUGAUCCAUCUCUAAAUAUGAUUAAUAAUCAGCCAAAGCAUAUCAGUGAUGUAUAUCAAAAUUCAUAAAUUUCAGAUAAAAGGGGAUAUAGAAGUGAGAAAAAUCUGGCAAAAGAGGGGAAAUUUAAAUGUUAGGGGUUAUUUUAUAAGAAUUAAAAAUAAUUGUAAAAAUGUCAAAUUUUCAAAACAAAAAGGGGAAAAUGCCCUCCAUAAACUACACCUAGAUCCUCCACUAAACUAUAUAACAAGGAAUCGCUUUCGAUGGAUAAUUUUUUACAACUGAAAGAGCUUUUUAUGGCUUAAUCCAUCUGAAAAGUAUGUAUCGCAGACCAUCACGACGAUUAUGAAGCUCAAGUUAAAAUCAGAAGCUCGUUAACUGAUUGGACAUAAUGCAACCUAAAAGUUGUAAUGGAAAAAAAUACUCAUUCGCUUGAAAAUAUAAAAGCAUUUUCUUUUGGUGUCCACGCUGUUGUUUUUCUGGUUUCUUUUGAGAAUAUAAAUGGAACUGAGAAGAAGAAUUAAGGAGUUCAUGUUUUUUUGGUUUUUCAUUUAUGGUGCACAUAGAAGUUGCUUGUCCAAUCUUGGCAACGAUUUUCUAUGUUCUUUCUGCAAUAUAUAUGUUUCUUUUAUAGAAAUUAAAUGCGGGGAUUUAAAGUCCAAGACAUUUCUUAAACACUGAGCAACAGAAAUUUCCAUGGCUAUAUGAGAAUUUGAAGACUUGAUUUAUGAAGCUGACUCAUUGUGCCUAAUAGUUACAACAAAAUUGACACUAUACCAUUACAUAAAGAAUAUGAAUUAUCCUCUUAAAAAUAAAUUAAACUCUAAAAAUUACCAUAUUUUAGUCUUUAUACUUGUAUUUAUCUUCCUAGAACAGUGUUAUAUACACUUAAGUUGUGCACAUGAUGUCAAUAUGUUUAUGUUUCAAAGCAAGUUUUAAAAAUGUAUUAAAAGUUAAGUCCUAUUAGUUAUAACUCAUAAAAAUUUGUAAUUUUCGUGUAUCACUAACAGAUGCAUAUAUAUACACAAGUUAGGCAUUACUUUUUGGCUGAGCAUAUUCAAGUAGAAGUAAUUUAAUGUUUGUAAUCAAAUAACUUUUUUAGUUGUGUUCGUGGCUGACAACCGUGCUGCUUAAUAUUACAAAAACAAGUGAAGUAGGCUCAUGCAAACAUCUUCUUUUGGUGUAUCAUAUUAAGUACAAGGCAAGACGUUUCUGUUGCUGAAGACUGACCAAUAAAGCUAGCAGCCAAGGGUAUUAUUUUCCUUUUACCUAAACAAAAAGAAUCAUAACAGAUCUCUUACAAAAUUUUGACCUUAUUAUACCAUUAAUCAAUCAAUCAAGAUUCUGUCAAAAGGACCCGGUUCACAAUUAAUUACUAACCCAUAAAGUUUUAACCUUUACUCAAUCAAAAACAGUUCUAUUGGGAGAACCCAGUUGAAAAUUCAUUACUAAUCCAUAAAGUUUGAACCUUUAGUCAAUCAGUUAAUCUUCAUUUGAGAUAACCCAAUUGAAAAUUAACCCACAAAGUUCUAACCUUAUAGUCAAUCAAUUAAAUUCUAUUGACAGAACCCAGUUGAAAAUUCACCACUAACCAUAAAGUUUUAACCUUUACUCAAUCAAUUAAAUAUUUAUACCAAACCAAAUUGAAUUUCUAUCACUAUGACAUAAAAGUUUAACAUGAUCUACCUAAUAUAACAAUAGUAGUUUAUAAUAGUAAUUGCUAAAGACCCUGCAGAAUCAUAAAUACAAAAGAUUAUAAGGGUUUGGCAAAUAUUAUACAAAAAGAAGCCAAUGCAGCAAGAUUCACAUACAAAAAGUACAAAAACCCUAAACCCUUAUACCCAGAAUAUAUAUAUAUAUAUAUAUAUAUAUAUAUAUAUAUAUAUAUAUAUAUAUUACAUACCUCUUUGAUAUGAGUGUGAAUAAAAAAAAAUUGUUGUCGUGGAUUGUUCUUCUUCUAUCUUCAUUCAACUCUUCUAAUAUCAAUAUGGUCUAAUGGAUUGACUGCUCUGGUGGGAUGAAGAGGGAGGACACUAUUGGGCUCCCGCCAAAAGUCGGUGGGGGUGCUUUACAUAACACAUCAAAGAA